UGGCGGCUGCUUUACACAUGCAAGUCUGAACUGUAACAGGGAGCUUGCUCCGCUGACGAGUGGCGAACGGGUGAGUAAUAUAUCGGAACGUACCCAAGAGUGGGGGAUAACGUAGCGAAAGUUACGCUAAUACCGCAUACGAUCCAAGGAUGAAAGCAGGGGACCGCAAGGCCUUGUGCUCCUGGAGCGGCCGAUAUCUGAUUAGCUAGUUGGUAGGGUAAAGGCCUACCAAGGCAUCGAUCAGUAGCUNGUCUGAGAGGACGACCAGCCACACUGGAACUGAGACACGGUCCAGACUNCUACGGGAGGCAGCAGUGGGGAAUUUUGGACAAUGGGCGCAAGCCUGAUCCAGCAAUGCCGCGUGAGUGAAGAAGGCCUUCGGGUUGUAAAGCUCUUUUGUCAGGGAAGAAACGGGUGCGGCUAAUAUCUGCAUCUAAUGACGGUACCUGAAGAAUAAGCACCGGCUAACUACGUGCCAGCAGCCGCGGUAAUACGUAGGGUGCAAGCGUUAAUCGGAAUUACUGGGCGUAAAGCGUGCGCAGGCGGUUUUGUAAGUCUGUUGUGAAAUCCCCGGGCUUAACCUGGGAAUGGCAAUGGAGACUGCAAGGCUAGAGUUUGGCAGAGGGGGGUAGAAUUCCACGUGUAGCAGUGAAAUGCGUAGAGAUGUGGAGGAACACCGAUGGCGAAGGCAGCCCCCUGGGUCAAGACUGACGCUCAUGCACGAAAGCGUGGGGAGCAAACAGGAUUAGAUACCCUGGUAGUCCACGCCCUAAACGAUGUCUACUAGUUGUCGGGUCUUAAUUGACUUGGUAACGCAGCUAACGCGUGAAGUAGACCGCCUGGGGAGUACGGUCGCAAGAUUAAAACUCAAAGGAAUUGACGGGGACCCGCACAAGCGGUGGAUGAUGUGGAUUAAUUCGAUGCAACGCGAAAAACCUUACCUACCCUUGACAUGUACGGAAGCCACGAGAGAUCGAGGUGUGCUCGAAAGAGAACCGUAACACAGGUGCUGCAUGGCUGUCGUCAGCUCGUGUCGUGAGAUGUUGGGUUAAGUCCCGCAACGAGCGCAACCCUUGUCAUUAGUUGCUACGAAAGAGCACUCUAAUGAGACUGCCGGUGACAAACCGGAGGAAGGUGGGGAUGACGUCAAGUCCUCAUGGCCCUUAUGGGUAGGGCUUCACACGUCAUACAAUGGUACA
rnacentral:rRNA from 1 species